rnacentral:rRNA from 1 species
GGGGGGGGGGGGGGGGGGGCGGGGGGCGGGCGGGGCGGGCGGGGAGGGCGGGCGGGGGGGGGGUGCUCGGGGGGCGAACGGGUGAGUAACACGUGAGUAACCUGCCCUUGACUUUGGGAUAACUUCAGGAAACUGGGGCUAAUACCGGAUAGGAGCUCCUGCUGCAUGGUGGGGGUUGGAAAGUUUCGGCGGUUGGGGAUGGACUCGCGGCUUAUCAGCUUGUUGGUGGGGUAGUGGCUUACCAAGGCUUUGACGGGUAGCCGGCCUGAGAGGGUGACCGGCCACAUUGGGACUGAGAUACGGCCCAGACUCCUACGGGAGGCAGCAGUGGGGAAUAUUGCACAAUGGGCGGAAGCCUGAUGCAGCAACGCCGCGUGCGGGAUGACGGCCUUCGGGUUGUAAACCGCUUUCGCCUGUGACGAAGCGUGAGUGACGGUAAUGGGUAAAGAAGCACCGGCUAACUACGUG